rnacentral:rRNA from 1 species
GAUGAACGCUGGCGGCGUGCCUAAUACAUGCAAGUAGAACGCUCAAGGGGGGGCUUUCUCUUUUUGAUGAUUUGCGAACGGGUGAGUAACGCGUAGGUAACCUGCCUGUUAGCGGGUGAGAACUAUUGGAAACGAUAGCUAAUACCCCAUGACAACAAUUAUUCCAUGUGAACUGUUUAAAAGGGGCAACUUCUCCACUACCAGAUGGUCCUGCGUUGUAUUAGCUAGUUGUUGAGGUAACGGCUUACCAAGGCGACGAUGCAUAGCCGACCUGAGAGGGUGAUCGGCCACACUGGAACUGAGACGCGGCCCAGACUCCUACGGGAGGCAGCAGUAGGGAAUCUUCGGCAAUGGACGGAAGCCUGACGGAGCAACGCCGCGUGAGUGAAGAAGGUCUUCGGAUCGUAAAGCUCUGUUGUAAGGGAAGAACGAGUGUGAGAGUGGAAAGUCACCUCUGGGCGGGUACCUAACAAGAAAGCGACGCUAACCUCCGG